GAUGCUUUCGUUCUCAGAAUUGAGUGAUGAGGUGUGACUUUGGGAUGCUCUUCGCAGAAGAAGGAGGCGAGGGAGAGAAGGGCGCCUCACCGUCCUGUCCCAUUCGCUAACGUUAGCUGGUGCUCCGAAGUAAACAUUGAAAGGGAGGGAAGUUAUGAGGAUCUCGUCUCCACUCUCCAAGGAACAGCCAGCCCUCCCACUAGACCUGGUUAGGAGAAGGUGAUAAACAGUCAUUUUAGAGGGAUGAGAAGAGAACAGAGAGGGGAGGGGGAAGAGCGAAGCACAAGCAGGCAAAAAAAAAUUAGCUAGAUCUCCUGGACUAGGAGCUGGCUGGUGUAGGGCCGGCAGUAGGGGGCGACCUUAAAUUCACUUUAAGAUGAGAAAACAUACCAGCUGUGAGAUUGCAGAGACCCACCAUGACAGAAAGGCAGAAAAGCACACUCUCCUGUGGGCACUGAGAAAAUGUCUCUGCUGCUGGUAAUUCCCUCCUAUUGGGGCAUGUAAACCUGGUUGGGGUAAUAAAGGGCAAAACCUACAAAGGCACCUACAAAAA